rnacentral:miRNA from 1 species
CAAAACCGGAACAAAAAAUGACUA